rnacentral:rRNA from 1 species
UACGUAGGGGGCUAGCGUUGUCCGGAAUCAUUGGGCGUAAAGAGCGUGUAGGCGGCCCGGUAAGUCCGCUGUGAAAGUCGGGGGCUCAACCCUCGAAUGCCGGUGGAUACUGUCGGGCUAGAGUGCGGAAGAGGCGAGUGGAAUUCCUGGUGUAGCGGUGAAAUGCGCAGAUAUCAGGAGGAACACCGAUUGCGAAGGCAGCUCGCUGGGACGUCACUGACGCUGGAGACGCGAAAGCGUGGGGAGCAAACAGG